rnacentral:rRNA from 1 species
GACGAACGCUGGCGGCGUGCUUAACACAUGCAAGUCGAACGGAAAGGCCCCUUUGGGGGUACUCGAGUGGCGAACGGGUGAGUAACACGUGAGUAACCUGCCCUUCACUUCGGGAUAACUUCAGGAAACUGGGGCUAAUACCGGAUAGGAAUCCUUGCUGCAUGGUGGGGGUUGGAAAGCUUCGGCGGUUUUGGAUGGACUCGCGGCUUAUCAGCUUGUUGGUGGGGUAGUGGCUUACCAAGGCUUUGACGGGUAGCCGGCCUGAGAGGGCGACCGGCCAACUUGGGGCUGGGAUACGGCCCAGACUCCUACGGGAGGCAGCAGGGGGGAAUAUUGCACAAUGGGCGGAAGCCUGAUGCAGCAACGCCGCGUGCGGGAUGACGGCCUUCGGGUUGUAAACCGCUUUCAGCAGGGGCGAAGCUUGUGGUGACGGUACCUGCAGAAGAAGCACCGGCUAACUACGUG